GUGUCAGCAGCCGCGGUAAUACGUAGGUGGCGAGCGUUGUCCGGAUUUAUUGGGCGUAAAGCGCGCGCAGGCGGUCCGUUACGUCCGUUGUGAAAGCUCCCGGCUCAACUGGGAGAGGUCUUCGGAUACGGGCGGACUCGAGGAAGGUAGAGGAAGGUGGAAUUCCCGGUGUAGUGGUGAAAUGCGUAGAGAUCGGGAGGAACACCAGUGGCGAAGGCGGCCUUCUGGGCCUUUCCUGACGCUGAGGCGCGAAAGCGUGGGGAGCGAACCGGAUUAGAAACCCCAGUAGUCC
rnacentral:rRNA from 1 species